GGAAAAUGGACGGAUGGGUGUUAUUUUAAGACUGAUUUUUCCCCCACUUGGUCGUAAUAAUGGUACGCUCCGUUGCCAAGGUGCUAGUGGAAGCCAGUCCACUUCACCACGCCUGUCGGCAACAGUUAGCCAAACUUGUAGCCCUUGUCGCUAUACGCAAAAAUGUACCUGAAGUCGAAUGUUGUUUGCACUUUAUGUGCAACUGAAGGAUAAACAGUCGCCUGGAAUCUUGUUUUUUUUUCCCACCACGGAAGCCAAGUUCCAUUCCUACCAGGCAGUUUCAUCCAACUUAAUGUGGCACCAUGGACCAGGAAGAGGUGCGGUCAGAGCAGGACCAGAUUUCCAUGCGGCUCCAAGGUGAUGGUUUGCCCUCGGAGGCCAGUUCAGACGAGCGACAGCGCCACCUUUGGCAGCGGCUCCUCGACGCCGAGGCGAAGCUGCAGCAGUCCACACAGGAGCUGCAUACUUUACGUUCACAGCAGGCCAACGAAAUGAAGGAGGUGGACAGCUAUGUUGGGCAUAUCCGUGGGCUUUUGCAACAGCGCGAGUGUGUGACUGCUGGCUAUGAAAGAGACAAUGAACAUCUGCGACAAGAGCUGCACCGCAUCAGUCAGCAACAAGAGAUUCAGAGCAAGGAGCUGGCGGAGAUGUUAGCCCAGGAAGACCUGGGGGAGAUAGGCCUGAGCAGCCCCAGUGAACAGGUGGCUUACUUACUGGUGGAGCGGGCAACACUGCUUGAAAGACUAGAAGGUGCUGAAAGGAGGCUUGACACCCAGAGUUUAUCUGGCAACAAUAGGGAUGUCCCACUACAGGGUUCGUCCCAGACUCCUUGGAAGAAACUCUUUGGUCUGCGCAAGUCUGGUCAGAGCAAAAACAAUAUUGCCCCUGCUCACAGCGAGGAGAUCUCCCAUGAGCGUAAUGAGCGCCAGCGGCUGGAGCGCGACUUGGACGAGGCGUCAAGCAGGUUGGAGAUGGCUCAUCAGGAAAUCCGAAGGCUCAACAAUGAGCUUGAUGUGGCCAAAAGCAACAGUUUGGACGUGUGUGAGUCAGAGCUUCAGGAAACGCUGCAAGAAUUAGAGAUUCUCAGGAAAGAAGUGGACAAACUGAAACAAUGCGAUAUGAUGAAGCUGCAGAGGGCCAAAGAGCAAAGUGACAGAUUAGAUGCAGACAACAUAAGUCUGAGGGAGAGAGUGCAUUCUUUAGAGUCGGAGAAGAAAAAUAUGCUUCAGCGGCUGGAAACAAGCAAUGACAACCAAUCCCUGAAAGAUGACAGAAGUCAAAAGAACGUUGAACCACAGAACAUACUGGCUGACUUUUUAUCAAAAGAAACUGAUCCGACUCACAAACGCUGUCAUGCGAUGAUUGAGGACAGGCUUGUUCAGGUGAGAGAGUUGGAGCGCCAACUUCAGCGGCUACGCAAGGAGCAGGAGGAACUGGAGGAGAGGAACGAGGAGCUGGAGGCUCUGCUAGGGGAAGCCCAGAAUGCCAGCAAGGAGGCGAGGCAUCGCCAUGAAGGAGAACUGGAAGGACUACAUCAGAGGAUCAAAAACCUUGAGGGAGAGCUGAAGAAGCAGGAAACACAAUUUAAUCUGUUAAAGAAUGGAGAUGAGGUCCAAACCACAGAGCCCUUCUUACAGCUGCACAUUCGAGAAAGUGGCCCGGAGAGACUGGCUCUGCUGGAAGCUCGUCUGACCGAGGAGAGGAACUGGAGAAAACAGCUAGAGUUGGACUUAAGUGCUGCACAGGCUGCCCUAAAAAAAGACAAGGAGGCUUUACAGAUUGGUGAGAGAGAGCUGAAGAAGCUGAGACUUGAGGUCAGCAGUCUCCAGACUGAAUGCCAGCAAGGGAAAACCCUCAUCAAGAGUCUUAGCCAAGUCAAGGGGGAAAAGGCAUUUCUGGAGGAGAAGUUAGCUCAGAUGGAGCGUGCCCACCGGCGACACCAGAGUGAGAUGGAACGCCACAAGGACAGUAACCAAACCCAAAAUGACCUGCAGGAAUACCAAGUACAGGUUGACCAACUUCAAGAGCAGACUGAUCGACAAGCCAAAGAACUUAGCAUCCUUCAAACAGAACACAAAAAACUCAGGGAUGAGAUGGUCUCUGAACGGCUGCUGACGGCAGAGCUGCAGGCCAAGCUGAGUGACAACGUCCAGAAGAAACUGGCAGCCGAAGGGGAAAAAGAGAAACUGGAGCUUGAGUUGCAACACCUUAAGAAGCAACUUCAGCAGCAGCAGGAUCAACUCUCUUUGAAUGAUGAAGCACUUAGCAGAAACUUGAAGUCUGCACACUUGGAGUUAACUUUUGGUCCAGUGGAGAAGACCAAAGAUCAGCAGGAGAAUCACUUACAGACCAAACAAGUGGAGGUGCAGCAACUGGCCUCUCAGCACCAAGUGGCUUGGCAGGCCCAGAUCAAUGAGGCACAGGCACACAUCAAGUCCCUGGACUUAGUGCUGAGUCAGAAGGCAGAGGAGGCUAAACAGAUGAAGCAGGACUUGCAGAGGGUGCAGAGUCUGUUUACCUCGGCAGAGCGAGAGCUACGCUACGAAAAGGAGAAAAACAUUGACCUAAAGAGGCACAAAACCCUGCUAGACAAUGAAAAACUCAAGCUUUCUGCAGAGCUGAACCAGGUCCAGACCAAGCUAGCCCAAAUGGAAAAGAGUUUUCACAUUAAGACGGCUGAUUUGGAACGCCAAGAGCAAAGAAUUAGGGAACUGGAGCUGGAACUGGCACGCAACUCAGCCAGCCGCAACGCCACCUCCAGUUUGCAAGAAGAGCUGCAGGUUGAGAGAGCACGGGUCAUUGCGGCUGACAAGAAGGUGGUAGAACUGCAGCAACAGCUCAAGACGAUCCAGCACCAGCUGCGCAUGGAGGAAGCCCGGGCCAGCGAGAGCAGCCGCCUGGAGCGGGAAAGCAGGGAUCUAUCUGACACCUUGUCAUCCCUCAGAGCGCAACAGCAGGAGGACCACAUCAACAGGAAGCUAUUAGAGCAGCGCGAGGAGGAGCUCCAGCACCAAGUACGUUCCCUGAGGUUGAAGGAGGUGACGCUCACCAGGACCAAUGCUGAGCUUAGCCACAGAGCACAGCAGCUAGAGUACGAACUAAAUAAGGCUCGAGAGGAGGUAAAAGAUAGCCAAGCCUCUUACCGUAGACUGAAGGACGAUCUGAUGGCCUCUCAGCUUGAGUGUGACAGAAUGCAGGGAGAGCUUAAGCAGGUUUUUCUACAGCUGAACAUUAACAUCAGAAAGUACAAUGAAAAACAGAGUCGACACAAAACCAAACUACAUCAGGCCAGGCAGGUCUUCCUGAAAGCCACUGCACAGAGGGACAACACCAUCCAGAAACUAGAGAACGAGUUGACUCUGGCUGCCAGCUUCUCACACAAGGCAAAAGAGAGCAUUCAUAAUGUAAUGGAGGAAAAUGAGAAGCUUCUGGAGGAGAGGAGGGUGCUGUUGCUUAAGAUAAGCGAGGCGGAGGAAAUGGGCAAUAAUGGCAUGAGGGCUGCAUCCACCGUUCAGCACCGGGUCUAUGUCUUAGAAGCAGAAAACAGGCAACUACAGGAUCAAACCCUCAGGCUGUCCAAUCAGGUCAGUUCCUUGGAGCGUGCCCUGAGGAACGCCCAGUCCUUCAACAGCAAUGAGAAUUCCAAGAAAGUGCUCUGUGACAGCAUCCUGCAAACAUCUACAAUAAGCCUAACGUCUGGUUCGUAUGACCCUCGAGAACUGUUGGACGCAAUCUGCCAAACUCAGUUGGAGCCCGUGUUGGACGGCACGCGAGCAUCUUCCUACACGCAGCAGCUGUCAGAGCAAAGCUACCUGAACCUCGUCUCCCCGUUGUUUCCUCCUGGCACUACCUUGGGGAGUCCAAAUAUCAGUGAUGAUGCAUGAGAGGCUGCGCCUAUGAGAGAAUCACAGCUCCACAGGAUGUGUGCUUUACUCACUGAGGUGUACGCCCGGCCACACAUGCUACAGCAGUAGGCCUUGGCGUUUUUGAUGGCGUGCGCUGACAAGUGGAUCUGCAACGAUGCUGAGUCGGAGUAGGCACGGUAGCAGUUGGGACAUUUGUACGGCUUGUCUUUAUUGUGCUGCCUCUGGUGAGACUGUAAAAACACACAUUUAACAGGAUAUAACUUCAUUUUGACCAUUUGAAUUGUUGUCUCCUGCAGCACUGUAUUGAUAAGUUGAGGCUAGAGUGGGUGAAAUAAAUGUGACUAAUGUACCAACCUGAAGGUUGGACAACUGUGUAAAAGCCUUUUCACAUCCAGGGUGAGCACAUUUAUAGGGUCUGUCACCGGUGUGGAUUCUGUCACAGAGAAAGCGAAGCAAGUCCCUGACCAACCUGGUGUGCUGCUGCAGAUGUGAGAGCUGGCGGAAGGAGUUGUCACAGUAGGAGCAGUGGUAGGGCUUAAUACCCAGGUGGAUGCGCAGGUGCUGCGACAAGUAAGAGGCGUUGGCGAACGUCUUGGAGCAGUGGGGACACUUGUGCGGUUUGACCUCCGUAUGGGACUUGGAGUGGAUCUGCAUCUCCGAUUUGGUCAGGAAGGUGAGUGGGCACACUUUGCAUCUUGACAAUGGCAAAAGAAGUUUAAUAAACACUUUAAAAGCAAGACAAAAAAAUGCACCGCUAUUAAUCUUGAUCAAAAAACAACUACAGUGUGAGGAAAAUGUGAUUGCAGAAUUUGUUUGGUGAAUUAUUGUAGCUCAGCACUAACGAAGUCAUUCCUGAAUAACUGACAGUUAAUUUUAGACCUACAAAAUGAAGAGGACAAAUGCGGAAGAAGUUUUUUUUGUAGCCCAGUGCUUCCCAUAAAUACAUUUAUUUGUAGCGGGCCCACCAGAAAUUAAUUUGGACCUGUUGGUCAUUAUUCAAACACAAUAGAAUGUCACUGUCUGUGACAUUACACUAAGGAACAGAACGUCACUAACCCAAACACCUACCUGGUGCAAAAAACCUACAUUUAACAGAUAGAUAGAUAGAUAUAUAAAUAAAAUCAAACACUGUAGUGUGUUACAUUAUAUGGCCUAAAAUCUUAAAUCGCGAUUUAUAUUGCAGCCUCCUGCGAAAAUGAUAUAUCACAAUGUAUUACUAGGUAUGUAAAUGAUAAUAAAACCAUUUCAAAAUGGGUUGCAUGUUGUUAUCUGGUUACUUUCUGAUGUAACAUGGUUCUAUCUACACUUCUGUUAAAAUGAGAUAGGCACUCAUUAUUCAAUUUGACAACUUCACAUUAGUUUUAAGCGAUACUACAAAUUUGAGUUUUCAAUACCAAGUAGUUACAGGGGCAGUAGUAGUAGAAUAUAUUUUUUUAAUCACAUUUAUAUUCAGACAAAAACACAGGAUGGCGGUGUAACAAUAUCAAUUAAAUAUUAAAAUCAUUUUCAACCAUUGGCUCAGAUUUAUAUCCUUUGGUUUUUACCCCUAAAUCUCUCGUGCGUUCAGGGACUUAUUUCCUGAGUUUGUAAACAAUAAAAAAAAUCCACAAAGUAUUUUUUGAUAGUAAAAAAUAUUGACCUAACCAUUUUAUCGAUCAUAGUCUGACACUAUACUUGAGUUGUUACUGUCGAUAUUUGUAUUGAUCCGCCCACCUUUGUCUACAUUCAUGAGCUCUAUCUUGUGGUUAGCAAAGCAUCCUAAAACAUGUAGUGUAGCAUGUUUAGUUAUUCCUCUUGCUCCAGGGAGGAUUCUUACUAAAUAAACUGUUCAUUUGCCACCAUGGAGGCAAUGAUUGCUAACUUAGAAGUGGUUUUAUCGACAUUUAGCGGCAUUACCCGCGAACGCUACAUUGCGUUGAGGACGCUUUUGUGUGCUGUCAAAUUUGCAGGACACAGGUAGAAUGUGUCAUCAAUAUGCAUUUUUACAAUAGAACUGUAGUAUUAAAAGUUAUAUUGUUGGCCAAAUGUACAUCAUUUAGAGAGGUGGUAAUCUUUGGCCAACUCAUAAUUCAGUUACAAUUAUGAUUCAGGAGCUACGAUUUGAUCAAAAAUCGAUUAUUGAUGCAUCUUUAUUUGCUGUAUAUUGAUGCAGUUUUACAUUUAUUUUCGUUUAUCUAAAUAAGCGUUUAUCACUUGCAACUUUUGAAAAAAGUGCAUUUGAACCAAGAAACGGUUGACUAACGUUUAUUAAAUGAAUGAAAAUGUGUGCAAAACUGGGACAUAAGUGCCCUAAAAUAAAGAAGCUGGUCGGAUCCGUGAGGUGGCUUGCUGCAAACAGCCAAAUUUUAGAACUGCCUAAAGUACUUUAUUUACAAUAAAUAAAUCAAUGAUUAAUUAUUGACGUUUACUAAUCGAUUUUUUAAUCGUCCUUGUCCGAAUUGCAAUGCAUCUAAAAUCUAUUAUUUUCCCCACCCCUAAUCAUUUAUGUAGUAUAUUGUCUGUAUCCCACAAGGUUAAAACACACGCUGCAACCUUAUCUAUUGCACAAACACGAACAUAAAUGCCUACGCAAAAACAUAAACACUAAAUUACACGCCUAACUACACUACACACCACACCACAAGGCACGUGAUAUAUUGGGUCACCCGCAGUAUUCUUUCCUAACACUCUACGCUAUAUUUAGGGAAUAUUCUGAUCUCCCUGGCACUAAUUACAAAUCCUGUAGCCUUUUUUGGGCACUUUUGGAAUUUUGUAGUCCGCCAUGAAAGCACACAUUGUAGCGGGUUCUACUGUUGGCCCCUACCCUAUAUAAAAAUAUUUAAAAUUUAAUUUGUGACAUAAAAAUAACUGACAGAAGAACAUUUAGUCAUAUUUAUAAUGUUUUUGUUUACUUAUUAAUAAAAAAAUUGCCCCACAAAUAACACCGAAGACCCGUUUAUCAUGUAAAUGAGUCAUACUUGAGUGGCACUUUUCUACCUUCAAGGUACUCAAAGCGCAUUGACACUAUUUCCACAUUCACCCAUUUACAAUAACAUUCACACACUGAUGGCGGGAGCUGCCAUUCAUGUGAACCAAACCACAUAUGACAACAGUAAUUCUUAUCAAUGUAUUAUUCAAUUAGUGAAGCAUUCAUCUGGUCAGGUCAUAUUAGGGAUGACACAUAUGAACAUUUCUUAUCAAAGCUAUUAUUAUCGCGGUAUUUUUAAAUGUGCUCAAAAUGUUUAAAAACUGCUUUUACUGACAUUUUUAAACCAAGUUUUAUUCAAAAACAACAAACUCAAAAUUAUUUCCUUUGUAGAAGAAACAAUAUUGUAGAUAAAAACACUGUUUCAUUGACCUCAAUGUGCAUAUGAAAGCAACAAUAAUUAUAAACAAGUAAUAUGGCAGAAAAAAAAACCCAUAUAAAAUAAAUGGCAAAAUUGUGCAAGAUAGCACUUUAUGGACAUAAGAGAUAAACAAAAACAAUUGUAAGAAUUUUGAAAGAUGGCACCUGAUGAAGACGCAACUGCACUUUUUGUCCAUAUACCGGUAAGUAAAAACAGUGUUCAUGUAUGAGAUCUAGUAUAAUACAUAGGGCUGCACGAUUACGGCCAAAAUAAUAGGAUUAUUUUUAUCGAUAUUGAAAUCCUGAUUAUGUUAGGAAAAAUUUGUUUGGGUGAGGCGUAAACGUGACGCCAUCCUGUAAUUUGUAAUGUCUAAUAAAAAAGCCAUGGAUAAAUGUUAUCCAUAUAUUUAAAGACAAAUAUAUAUAUAUAUAUAUAUAUAUAUAUAUAUAUAUAUUUGUUCGUUAAUAGUAUCAACGUCUCAGCUUUUUCUCAUUACAUGAUGCCUUUAUCUCUAUUUUUACAUUUUGAAAGAGAGAGGUAUUUCUUUUAAGUUAUGUACAAUUAUAUGUGUAUGUACAUGCUGUAUCGGGACAGAUCCAUUAAGAAUUUGAGCAGAAAUAUGUCGUAUAGGAAUUAACUAUACACAAUAAAACAUUAAUAAAAUGCUGUGUCACAUGAAUGGUUUUUAAAGUAAUCCUUUUGAAGUUAAAAAAACAGGUAAUGUAAAAAAACAUAACCUUGUGUUUACUUUCUGAUAUCAAUAUGAUAUCAAAGCAGUUUGGAUAAUGAAGAUGAAGUAUAAUAAACAAGCUGUGUUCUUCUCUAACAAUGCAACAAAUUGGCCAACAAAAAUAAACAGAAGUGAUACUUCUCACAUCUGUUACACAAUCUUCACAGCCUGCGUUCAGUUUGAUGAGAUGACAAAACAUUACAGCUAGUAUUGAUGUUAUUGGAACACUGAUACAGUUCGCAGUUAAAUAAAGGACGAGGGAGCGUCCCAGUAAACGAACUAAAGACUUUAUAAACAAGUUGUAGCAGUGUUCCCAACACAUCGCCCGCUGCACGUUUCCUCACAUCAUUAACUCUGUCACAGCAGCUAAUGGACGCUGUAUUGACAAAAUAAAAGCAACGCCAAAUAGUUUUCUCCUUCUCUGUAUACUUUUAGUGUGAGACAAAUGCGUCUGUCUCCAAUAUUGUCCACACCUGUCGCCAUCUAAUAACAGCAGUGCACAUUUAAACGCACGCCGAGACUACGCAAAUGAAGCGAGGGAAUACGAAGUUUACUCCGAGGGGAAAUCUCCAAAGCCAAGUCUGUAUAGUUUUCCGAACGACGCCAGCGCUGCCCUGACUCCAUAUCUAAGAAGUAAGCAGUGUUGCCUAAAUGCAUUGAUAAAUGACAGUUUUUCAGUAAUUAAAAAUUUAAACGGUAUUACUAACCAUCAGGAAUUUUACCGCUGUUUAUCAUUAUACCGUUUACCGUUGCAUACCUAGUUCAUACUCGUGUUUUUAUCGACAUUUAUGUGAGGAAGCACUCUCACAAAUCAUCAACAGACCACUUAAUUAACUUGACAGCUAAAAGACCAGAAUUAAAACCCACUUAAGGAUGUCAAGUCUAAACCUGAUUUAUAGGAAAUAUGAAGUAGAAACUUUGAGCAUCCUACCUAUAGGUUUUCCCCUCUUUGGGUGCCACAGUGAUGCAGCCUUGGUCCGCUAGAAUCGGGUAGGGGACCACCAGCAGAGGACCUGACUCAGCUUUAAUCUUCUUACGCCCUCGCGGUGCUUUGGGUGGGGGGCCCAGCAGUCCUGCCAGGCCUCCAACCUUCAUGUGGUCCAUGCCGGGGCCAGUCGCCAACCCGGAGAGGAUAUUGACAGAGGGGGCACCGCCCAUGCGGUUCUGGCUGCUUGAGGUUGGAGUCGUGGGAGUUAAAGCCUCCGAGGUGCUGUGGCUGUCGGGUCGGGAUGAAGGAGACAGACCUGGGGGUGGGAGGCAGGGUAUUUAUGUCACAUACUCCAAUAUGUCUACCUAUUGUGCACUUCUUUAAAAACGUCUUUGGUAUCAAUGAAACAAUCAUUGGUAGCAGUUACAAGGUAAGUUUGGGUCAGAAUCAUAAAUUUACAUCAAUAAUACUCUAUUGGUGGGAACUAUUUCUUAUGUAAUGUUUAAUUGUAGACAUUCCAUAAAGUGGUGCCAUAUCCCCAUGCUUUGACAGUGACAUUACCAUUUUUUUCUUAAUUGUAGUAAGGCUGCAACGAUCAAAUCGAUUAAUUUGAUUAGAAAAAAGACAUCAAUUUGUAUUUCGUUGCUUCUAUGACUUGUUUAAUGAGACGAUGUUUUUGAUUGAGAAGUUUAUUGACAUCUUAAAGAAUUGAAUCCAUGUAAUGCUUUAAAAAGGCAAAUGGAUGGCAUAAAAAGCCAGUGUGUGUGGCCGCCGGACUAGUGGAGUGCCGAUUGAGAGAGAUGAUUCAAAAAACGACAACGUGGUAAGACAGCAAAGAGCUCUGAGAAGAUGAAAGAGGUUUGGUGAUCAUUUUUAGAAGUGAAAAAGACAGAUAUCGUUGUGAAAUGUUUGCAUUGUCAAACAGAGCUGGCAUUUCACAAUAGCACUACACCAAUGAUGCUACAUUUCUAGAAAUCGUCCUGCAUAUUUAAAAACAGCAAACAAGCAAAAACAAAGUACACAUCUAUUUUAUCAGCUAAUGUCUUCUUGUUUGUUCAACUUGCAUCACAAAUGUUUUUAUUCAAACACAUGUCAGGACAUGUUGCCAUCUACAGUUUAAAUGUUAAUGCUAACCACCGCUCCUCCAAUUAAUACCCUUUCAAAUGUGGAUAUGUUUAAUUGUUAAAUACAUUGGCACUCAAUUUAUCAUACCUUA